rnacentral:rRNA from 1 species
AAUAGAUACCCUGGUAGUCCACGCCGUAAACGAUGUCGACUUGGAGGUUGUUCCCUUGAGGGAGUGGCUUCCGGAGCUAACGCGUUAAGUCGACCGCCUGGGGAGUACGGCCGCAAGGUUAAAACUCAAAUGAAUUGACGGGGGCCCGCACAAGCGGUGGAGCAUGUGGUUUAAUUCGAUGCAACGCGAAGAACCUUACCUACUCUUGACAUCCACGGAACUUUUCAGAGAUGAAUUGGUGCCUUCGGGAACCGUGAGACAGGUGCUGCAUGGCUGUCGUCAGCUCGUGUUGUGAAAUGUUGGGUUAAGUCCCGCAACGAGCGCAACCCUUAUCCUUUGUUGCCAGCGGUUCGGCCGGGAACUCAAAGGAGACUGCCAGUGAUAAACUGGAGGAAGGUGGGGAUGACGUCAAGUCAUCAUGGCCCUUACGAGUAGGGCUACACACGUGCUACAAUGGCGCAUACAAAGAGAAGCGACCUCGCGAGAGCAAGCGGACCUCAUAAAGUGCGUCGUAGUCCGGAUUGGAGUCUGCAGCUCG